GACGAACGCUGGCGGCGUGCUUAACACAUGCAAGUCGAACGGAAAGGCCCUGCUUGCAGGGUACUCGAGUGACGAACGGGUGAGUAACACGUGGGUGAUCUGCCCUGCACUUCGGGAUAAGCCUGGGAAACUGGGUCUAAUACCGGAUAGGAGCCAUUUUUAGUGUGAUGGUUGGAAAGUUUUUUCGGUGUAGGAUGAGCUCGCGGCCUAUCAGCUUGUUGGUGGGGUAAUGGCCUACCAAGGCGGCGACGGGUAGCCGGCCUGAGAGGGUGGACGGCCACAUUGGGACUGAGAUACGGCCCAGACUCCUACGGGAGGCAGCAGUGGGGAAUAUUGCACAAUGGGCGCAAGCCUGAUGCAGCGACGCCGCGUGGGGGAUGACGGCCUUCGGGUUGUAAACUCCUUUCGCUAGGGACGAAGCUUUUUGUGACGGUACCUAGAUAAGAAGCACCGGCUAACUACGUGCCAGCAGCCGCCGUAA
rnacentral:rRNA from 1 species